rnacentral:lncRNA from 1 species
UCCAACUUAUAAUAAGAAUACCAUGUUUUAGUCAAAAUAAUAACUAUGCCCUCGUACAAUCUGAAGGGUUUCCUUUCUUCUUUGAAGCUAUUUUCUUCAUUUUGAAAGAAAUUGUGCUUAUCCUUUGUUCAUAAACAAAGGCAGAGUGUUUCUUUUUCUGUUCAAGUCAUCGUAUAUGGAUCAUAUUAUGCUUUAGGCUCUAUCAUGCAGGAAAUUUCUCCCUCUCUUUACAGGCAUGAUAGGCUGAAUUAUGUUCUGAACUAAGACAGAGAAACAAGAAUUGCCGCAUAAUCUUAUCGUAGGGGAUGACUAAUAUGGACCACCAUAAUAAGCGACUUGUGAUAGACAUCGUGUUUUUCUGUCAAUCUUGACAAUUAGAUUGCAUAGGGUCGUAGGAUCUUAUCAUAGUUUCUCUACAAUUGAUUGCAUUACCAUCUCGUCUCCCUCAGGUCCUG